rnacentral:lncRNA from 1 species
CUCGUGUCCCGGCCGGGCUUAAUUAACGGGUUUGGAAGGAGGCGGGUGAUGAUGAUGGGUUCGGGACCGGAGUCGACGGCACCGCGGUUCCCUGCUGCCAUCUAACGGGGACAGCCGUCCCGGCAGCUGCGUUGGGGGGUGUGGGAGGGGCUUCCCCGGGACCCCGUUAAGCCGAAGGGAUGGGGGAAGCUGUAGGAAUGGGUGAUUGCUGCUCUGAGCAUUGGGACACCCGAAGGCUGUACUGUGCGUUGUGGGGCGGGGGCUGAUGGCACCGUGGGGCUGUGGGAGCAGUGGGUCAGCCCAGCUGGUAGCUGUGCAGGUCAGGCUAGGGCUGUGCCCGCCGGUGCUGCCUUUAAAAGCAGCGUGAGGAGGAGGUGGCUUUGCCCUACAGGGCUCUGCAGCUGUCCCUUCUUCACAGCCCAUCCCUGGGGGGGGGUAUGUGGGGGUGAUGCUGGAUCGGAU